AUUGAACGCUGGCGGCAGGCCUAACACAUGCAAGUCGAGCGGAGCGGCGGACGGGUGAGUAAUGCCUAGGAAUCUGCCUGGUAGUGGGGGAUAACGUCCGGAAACGGGCGCUAAUACCGCAUACUAUCAGAUGAGCCUAGGUCGGAUUAGCUAGUUGGUGGGGUAAAGGCCUACCAAGGCGACGAUCCGUAACUGGUCUGAGAGGAUGAUCAGUCACACUGGAACUGAGACACGGUCCAGACUCCUACGGGAGGCAGCAGUGGGGAAUAUUGCACAAUGGGCGAAAGCCUGAUGGAGCCAUGCCGCGUGUGUGAAGAAGGUCUUCGGAUUGUAAAGCUCUGUUAUUAGGGAGGCGUGACCAACAGAAUAAGCACCGGCUAACUUCGUGCCAGCAGCCGCGGUAAUUC
rnacentral:rRNA from 1 species